CAGCGUGUUCAUGAUCUGUUUGCUUGACAUGUUUCAGGUUUGGAGAUUGGGAAUCUGCAAAAUGGAUCUCACUGGUUCGUGAACUUACAAUUUAAGACCAAAAUCGUCCAAUACUGCUUUAAUCUAACGACAGAUAAGUGGAGAAAAACAGGUACCUCAAGUGCAAGGAGUUGGCACUGGAGUCUGCAUUUCUUAUAAAGGUGAUGGAAUCAUAGACCCUAGAUUUCGCUUUUCCUGGCCGUAGUGCAUCUGUUCAUCAGCAACAGAGAAGCUAGCUGCCAACCAGGAUCGAAUCAGGGCAAAAGUUAUCGGUUUCCUAUUCAAGUUUCGGAUUCCCUUUCAAUCACUGUAUGUCUUCAUACACAAAUGGUCUAACCUAAUUUAGUUCAUUAUGCUAAACCAACCUGUGGAAUCAAGCCAAAAGAUCAUCCCCGGAGAAACCAUCAUGUGGUACUGGAACACUGUCACGUGGAAACCAAUCCACGUGUUAUAAUCUGUAUGGCACAAGUUGCUUUCAACUAAUAUGUUCAUAUUUUGUUAUCAGUACAUUUGUCAUUGAAAUUCAAGGUAAGAUAAAGGUGGCAUAAUGGCAUUGUCCUCUUAAUAUUUUACCUUAUCUAUUUGUAAAAGCUUUCUGUCAUAAUAUUAAUAUAUAUAGUUUCAGUUGGC
rnacentral:lncRNA from 1 species